CGGGAGAGCAUGGAAUUUCCCUAUCUAUGCUAAAGGAAACAAAUUGAAGAUAACACUGUUUUCUAAUCGUGACGAUCUUACAGGAAAAGGAAUGUGGUUAGAACUGAGAGUCACUAAAGUAACAUCACAGCCAACAUCCAGCAGCAUUAGGACAACUGCACCCGUAGAUAUGACGUUAUCGACAUUGGUAGAGACUACAAAUGAACGUUUAGUGAAACGAACAUCAGCACGACCUACAAGCAGUGAUAUUCUACUGACGAAUUCAGCUGACAAGGACGUUUCAAAUUUUGUUGGAAAUACAACUUUUUCUUCAAGACGACCUAUAACAAGAAAGAUAACCCAGACUACAUACAUGUAUAUGACAAAGACGAGUACCACGGUGACAAGUGAAAGUCUGACAACGAUAGGCUCAAGAGGUAGGUGUGGAAUAUAAAAAUUUUAAUUUUCUCGUUUACUUGUAUGUGUUACUUAAUUGGUAGAUCAGAAACAAAAUGGAAAAUCAUACAGAUAUCAGUACACAAUCGCAAUAAAGAAUAACAUGGACUUACCGCAUGUAUGUAUGAACUCAAAACAGUCAUCAACAAUAUGCGACAUUCAAGGGGUAACGUAAGACUAUUGUCAAGACUACAGUGUAUUCGACAAUUUGUAAGCCGGUAUAUGUAUAUCUGUCCUAAAUUCCAUUGUUAACAAAAGUUGGGCUGUUCAUGUCACAAUUCAAUAUGUGCUUAAAGUAUACCAGAGUACUAUUUUCAAGGAAUGAAAGUAAUUAUUCCUCUUUUUAUACGAUAUAAACCAAAUUGGGUUAGUUUACGCAUCAUAAACCACGACGCGGUUUAUCUAAUAGCGUAAAAUAACACCAACCGAAAUUGCUCUAGCAAGAAAAUGGAAACGGAUCAACAAAACGUACUGUGACGUCAUAGCUAGGACGUCAUAUAGUGGAACUAAACGCCAACUUUGUUUAUAUUAUAAAAAUUAUUUUGAUUAAGAAAAAUGAACCAAUAAAAUCACGUGUUACAGGUAACGUCGAAUUCUUCUUUUCCUUUUGCUCUAUUUAUCACUUUUAUGAGUCAAUUCAGUGCUUUACUUUAGAUGAUAUAUUAUUGUGUAAUAUUGUUUAUCUGUUUUAUAUUCCCCUGAGUGUAUACCUUACUUACAUGAGCUUUGUUGCAAAUUACCUACAUUCAGAAAACUUCAUCUGGUAUUCGAACUGCGGCCUUUUGAAAACUUUAGUGUAUUUUCCCUCUAAAUUUCCAAACUGGCACAUUGUUUUACAAACCUAAUACAUUCGUAGGUAAGUACACUUUAUUGAAUUGCUUAAUCUAAUUCUAAGAUAUUAAAUGUAAAAUAAAAGUUAUGUCAAUACAUUUUGAUUUUGUCAGGAUGUAGAAUGAUAUCAACAAGCGAGGCCUGGAGUUAGGAGUCCGAGUCCCGCUCAUUCCAUGCCGCAUCAAAUCCAAGACGUAAACAUGAGUUAUAAUUGCUCCUUCGCCAAACACUCGGCUUUUAGAAAAGACGAUGAUAACGAACAGUGAUCAGUCUCAUAAUUCCUAAUAUGUAAACGGUGUGACCGUUGAGACGAGCGAAGACCCAUGACAUCUUACAACACGACUUUAGGCAUUUCAUUUAACGCGGGAAAUAUAACGCGGUUGAUGUAAACAGUGCAUUGUGAUGUCAUCAUUAGCUGCUACAUUAUUUUCUUUCAAACCAAUCAAUUAUCCACAACAAAACGUACGAAGGUAUGGGAAAGCUUGUUUGGAAUUUAAAAUCAUUUGUGGUACUUUCCAAACUAUUUAUUUGUUUUAUCUACGGGGUUGUCAAUGAAGUAUACCGUAGUGACGGCGACAUCUUUCCGGAGGCAUUAUGGGUAGUUUCCAUCAUUUUUCAGCUGAUGAAGAGCAAACCACGUGACUCCAUUGCGUAAUCAUUGGAGCGAGCUCGUCGCGUCGCUUCGCGACGCGAGCUUCGCUCUCUAUAAAGAACAUGUAUCUCCACUAGGUCACCAACAGUUUUAG